GCACCACCCCGGCCCAAGGUUUCUGCUUCUGGCUCCUGCUCUGGGCUCUGUUUUGCCCUGGUGCCCUGCCCACCCGCAGAGGAAAGCAAACCUUUCCCCAGGCCAUACGGAAGGAGAACUGAACAUGGCAGGGGCCCUGUCGGACCGGUGAUAACAGGCUGAUUGGCUCCCUGGAAGUGACCAGGCUUGAGACAGACAGUGAAGUGGAUGGAUCAGUCCUGGUGGGAUCUGAUCAGAGACAGCACCUUUCUGUCACCUUUCUUGGUGACUCAUUUGGAACUGUGGACUCUGCGGCGCCCUUUGGCUUGCAGGCUGUGUCACAGACUAGUUUCCUUCCUGGAGGGAGGGCUCGCUGGUGUUUCAAGGCCCCACCUCCCAGUGCCGUGACAUUGAGGAUUAAGCUUCCAACACCUGCUCUUUACGGGACACAUUCAAACCACAGCAGGCCCCCAGAAGCUGUCCUCACUUCAGGCAAACAGCUCAAGACACAGGGCAUCCAGACCGGCCAGUGGUGGCCCAGGCUGCUUGUUGGGGCAGCGAGAGGUCAUCCAGAUAGAAUACAAAGUGAUGCCAGUGGAGUGUCCGAGGGAGGUAGCAAGUCCAGACAAUGGCCUUCAGUGACCACUGACCUUGUAAGAAGACAGCCAGGCGUUACUCGCCACCCGGGGAAAGCAGCCAUCACACUCCCAAAGCAUUCUUAUCUGAUGAGGCUUCUGUCCUGAACCACCAAGCCGUAGAAAAUACAGGGUUCCCAGAAAUAUAGUCAGUAACAACACAGGGACGAAACCAGCAAAUCCAGACCGGAGCCGGGCAAGGCAGCCUGAUUCCUCCCACGAGUCAACUGCACAGAGAAGAAAAAAAUCUGUGUCUAUACUGCGGUUUGCAAAGGCCAUGGCGGAGGCGCAAGGGAGCCCCGGGCCCUGGGCCGCCCCUGACCAGCCCUGUGUGUUCAAGCUGGUUCUCCUGGGCAGUGGCUCUGUGGGCAAGUCCAGCUUGGCCCUGCGGUACGUGAAGGAUGACUUCAGGAGCAUCCUGCCCACUGUGGGAUGUAAGUGAGGGGUGGGGACAGGGCCCCUGACCACCCACUGUAGGAUGUAAGUGAGGGGUGGGGACAGGGCUCCUGACCACCCACUGUGGGAUGUGAGGGGUGGGGACGGGGCCCCUGACCACCCACUGUGGGAUGUAAGUGAGGGGUGGGGACAGGGCUCCUGACCACCCACUGUGGGAU